rnacentral:rRNA from 1 species
AUUGAACGCUGGCGGCAUGCCUUACACAUGCAAGUCGAACGGUAACAGGUCUUCGGAUGCUGCCGAGUGGCGAACGGGUGAGUAAUACAUCGGAACGUGCCCGAUCGUGGGGGAUAACGAGGCGAAAGCUUUGCUAAUUCCGCAUACGAUCUACGGAUGAAAGCGGGGGAUCUUCGGACCUCGCGCGGACGGAGCGGCCGAUGGCAGAUUAGGUAGUUGGUGGGAUAAAAGCUUACCAAGCCGACGAUCUGUAGCUGGUCUGAGAGGAUGAUCAGCCACACUGGGACUGAGACACGGCCCAGACUCCUACGGGAGGCAGCAGUGGGGAAUUUUGGACAAUGGGCGAAAGCCUGAUCCAGCCAUGCCGCGUGCAGGAUGAAGGCCUUCGGGUUGUAAACUGCUUUUGUACGGAACGAAAAGCCUCUUUCUAAUAAAGAGGGGUCAUGACGGUACCGGAAGAAUAAGCACCGGCUAACUACGUG